UGAGGAAUAUUGGUCAAUGGUCGGGAGACUGAACCAGCCAAGCCGCGUGAGGGAGGAAGGUACAGAGUAUCGUAAACCUCUUUUGUCAGGGAACAAAGACGGGGACGCGUCCCCGGAUGAGUGUACCUGAAGAAAAAGCAUCGGCUAACUCCGUGCCAGCAGCCGCGGUAAUACGGAGGAUGCGAGCGUUAUCCGGAUUUAUUGGGUUUAAAGGGUGCGCAGGCGGUCUGUUAAGUCAGCGGUCAAAGCCCGGGGCUCAACCCCGGCCCGCCGUUGAAACUGGCAGUCUCGAGUUGGAGAGAA
rnacentral:rRNA from 1 species